UCGAGGCACUCCAUAACUGCGACAAUAUUGCAGCCCUGAUACUCAAUUUGCAACACUGUUGCAGAUGCUCAGCUGAUACUUAAGCAAAAUAAUUGCAAUAUUUUGCGCGAAUUGUGACCGAAAGUGAAACUUUAACCAUGAACUUUUUAAUAAAUAAAGCGAUAGAUAAUUUUGAAAGCAGUGAUAAUAACCUGCUGCUUAAGUAUGGAAAAAAUAGAAAACAAAAUUUGUUAAGAAAGAGAAAGUGGUUCCUCGCUGAAAUUUCAAAAAAGAGAACAGUGACGAAGAUGAUAAAGGUUUGGAAAACAAUUCCAUUGCAUCAUGAUGAUACAUAUUUCACGCAUUUUCGCAUGACUCGUGAAACAUUUGCAGACUUGAAAAAUGCGUUAGAACCUUUUUGGUCAACACCACACGGGGAAUAUUCCUUGGAACAUUCCUUGCAUAUGACUCUUUGGAAGCUAAGCAAUAGUAGAGUCACAUAUCGAGAGCUUGCCGAUAGAUUUAAUGUUGGGCAAGGAACUGCCCACAAACUUUUCCUUAAAACAAUCAAGACAAUCUGCAAACUUAAAAACGAGAUAUGUUGGCCGUCAGUUUUACAGCAGAAAAAAAUAAUGGAAAACUUUCAAACAAGCCGGGUAAAUUCAUUUCCUUUUGUUGUCGGAUGCUUAGAUGGAACGCAUUUCAAAAUUAACACUCCUCAAGCAGAUGCAAUCAGUUAUUAUGACCGUAAAGGAAAUUUUUCAGUUAUUAUGCAGAUGUGUUCAUGGGCUACCCAGGUAGCUGUCAUGAUGCCAAUGUGUGAAAAAAUAGUCCACUUUACAAAGGGAUCACAUCUGGACAAAUAAAACUUGCGAAAGAUGCAAUUAUUCUAGCCGAUUCAGCAUAUCCUGUUUCAAGAUACUUAAUUGCUCCUUCUAGAGAUAACGGACAUCUUUCCAGAGAGGAAAAACAAUUCAACUAUUACAUGAGUUCAACCCGAGUAUUUAUCGAGCAAACAUUUGGAAUUUUCAGGGCUAAGUUCAAAAUAUUGAAUCAUAUUGAUGUGCGCAAUAUAGAAGACAUAUCAACUGUGAUAUUAGCUUGCGCAAUUUUACAUAAUUUUAUACUGCGAAGCAAUCCGGUUCAUUCUGAAGACAAUCAUACGAGUAUGCCUGAAAAUUUAGAAAAUUCAAAUGAUCACCUUAUGAUUGAACUACAUACCUGAGAAUAUAAAUGACACUAAUGAAGGAAUUAUCAGACGAAAUAACUUGAAAAUGCUAUUUAUUUCAUAGAAGUAUUAUUUCAAUAAUGUAUAUAUGUAUGUACAUAUCAAAUAAAUGA